rnacentral:rRNA from 1 species
UACGAAGGGGCUAGCGUUGCUCGGAAUCACUGGGCGUAAAGGUGCGUAGGCGGGUUUUAAGUCAGGGUGAAAUCCUGGAGCUCAACUCCAGAACUGCCUUUGAUACUGAAGAUCUUGAGUUCGGGAGAGGUGAGUGGAACUGCGAGUGUAGAGGUGAAAUUCGUAGAUAUUCGCAAGAACACCAGUGGCGAAGGCGGCUCACUGGCCCGAUACUGACGCUGAGGCACGAAAGCGAUGGGGAGCAAACA